AUUGAACGCUGGCGGCAGGCCUAACACAUGCAAGUCGAACGGUAACAGGAAGCAGCUUGCUGCUUCGCUGACGAGUGGCGGACGGGUGGGUAAUGUCUGGGAAGCUGCCUGAUGGAGGGGGAUAACUACUGGAAACGGUAGCUAAUACCGCAUAAUGUCUCAAGACCAAAGAGGGGGACCUUCGGGCCUCUUGCCAUCGGAUGUGCCCAGAUGGGAUUAGCUUGUUGGUGGGGUAACGGCUCACCAAGGCGACGAUCCCUAGCUGGUCUGAGAGGAUGACCAGCCACACUGGAACUGAGACACGGUCCAGACUCCUACGGGAGGCAGCAGUGGGGAAUAUUGCACAAUGGGCGCAAGCCUGAUGCAGCCAUGCCGCGUGUAUGAAGAAGGCCUUCGGGUUGUAAAGUACUUUCAGCGGGGAGGAAGGGAGUAAAGUUAAUACCUUUGCUCAUUGACGUUACCCGCAGAAGAAGCACCGGCUAACUCCGUG
rnacentral:rRNA from 1 species